AGCCUCUCAGGGUCGCACCUGGAGAGUUUCCAGUACUCUACCAGUCUCUUCUACGGGAAGAAGAGUCAAGCAGAGGUGUACCCAUUCCAUUUCUACCUUGUCCAGUGACUAGUGAUUGGAAGGCAAUCUGCUACAAGU